rnacentral:rRNA from 1 species
GGGAGGUAGUGACAAUAAAUAACAAUACGGGGUUCUUUCGGAUUUCGUAAUUGGAAUGAGUACAAUUUAAAUCUCUUAACGAGGAACAAUUGGAGGGCAAGUCUGGUGCCAGCAGCCGCGGUAAUUCCAGCUCCAAUAGCGUAUAUUAAAGUUGUUGCAGUUAAAAAGCUCGUAGUUGAAUUUCGGGAUCAAUAUGUCGGUCGUACCUUCGGUACGUACUGGUAUCAUUGGUUUCUCCCUUCUGACAAACCAUGAUGUCAUUAAUUUGGUGUUAUGGGGAGUUAGGACUGUUACUUUGAAAAAUUAGAGUGUUUAAAGCAGGCAUUAGCUUGAAUACAUUAGCAUGGAAUAAUGAAAUAGGACGUUUGACCCUAUUUUGUUGGUUUCUAGGAUCGACGUAAUGAUUAAUAGGGAUAGUUGGG